UACGUAGGGGGCAAGCGUUGUCCGGAAUUACUGGGCGUAAAGCGCGUGUAGGCGGGAAAGCAAGUCGGACGUGAAAGGCUUCGGCUCAACCGGAGACGGCCGUUCGAAACUGUUUUUCUUGAGCGUCGAAGAGGAGAGUGGAAUUCCCGGUGUAGCGGUGAAAUGCGUAGAGAUCGGGAGGAACACCCGUGGCGAAGGCGGCUCUCUGGUCGGCGACUGACGCUGAGACGCGAAAGCGUGGGGAGCGAACGGG
rnacentral:rRNA from 1 species